UCGACUUGCGCCGGAAGGAAGCCGGGGCUUGGGGCAUCCGCCCGGCGAGCCUUGGGGCAUCCGCCCGCCCGGCCAUGCUUCUGCGGCCGCUGCGGAGCUGGGCCUGCCGGGUACUGCGCUGUGACGGCCCCGGGAACCCCGCCUACGCCCCGGGGUCGCGGGCGGCGCAGCGCUGGGCCUGGCCUCUGGAUAAAGAUAGAGAAAAUGAAAAAAAGAAAAAAUCAGUGAUCUGUGUCGAAGGCAACAUUGCAAGUGGGAAGACGACAUGCCUGGAGUUCUUCUCCAACACCAGAGACGUUGAAGUGUUACCGGAGCCUGUGCCCAAGUGGAGGAAUGUCCGAGGCCACAAUCCCCUGGGUCUGAUGUACCGUGACGCCUCUCGAUGGGGCCUCACGCUGCAGACGUACGUGCAGCUCACCAUGCUGGACCUGCACACUCGUGCGCAGACGUUACCUGUACGGUUGAUGGAGCGGUCAAUUCACAGCGCAAGAUACGUUUUUGUAGAAAACUUGUAUAGAAGUGGGAAGAUGCCUGAAGUGGACUACGUGGUUCUGUCCGAAUGGUUCGACUGGAUAGUGAGGAACAUCGACUUGUCCAUCGACUUGAUAGUUUAUCUCCAGACCACUCCUGAGACCUGUUACCAGAGGUUAAAGAUGAGGUGCAGGGAAGAGGAGAAGGUCAUUCCACUGGUAAGAGCCCCUUUCACCAGUGGAGCAUGCUCCGUCCUAGCCUGGCCGCAGCUCCUGGGUUCUUUGCGCUGCUGUGGAGGGAGAGAAACAGGAACUGUGGGUCGGAGGGUGAAUGCUGCCUUCCUCUGUGGCUGGAGACCACGUAUGAUGUCCAGGGCUGCUUCACUUCCUGUGGUUCUGGGCUCAGUGGUGGGCACCCGCUGUGCUCAGAGGCGGCCCUUCUCCCGGAUGUUGUUGCCCAGGCGUCCCCAGGGCUUGACCUGUCCACCUCCUGAAGAUUGCUGGCCUUUGUGCUGGGACCUGCCUGCUUGCUCGCUGCUGCAUCCCCAUUGCUCUGCCUAGCGCCUGACUGGGAGGUGGUUCUCACUCAUGUUUGCCCAAGGCCACAUCAGCUCUCGUCGGGACUGUUGUAACAGACUCUCCUUGUCCUGGUCCCUCACUGUCCACAACCCUGUCUGAUAUCCAGCCUCCACACUGCUGCUUGGGCGAUGUUUCCAAUACGGAAACUCAGGCCCCAUGCCCAGCUCCUUCAGUGCCUCCCCUCACCGCCGUCUAGGAUCAGGUCGGCACUGGUAACGUGCCGUCUGCGAUCUUGCAUGACUGGCUUUGUCCCCCUCCACUGCCUGCCUCUCGUGUUCUGGCUAUGAAGAACUAGUUGUGGCUCCCCAUACUCUCUCACUCUUUUUCUCUUUCUCUUUCUCACUCGCUCGUGCUCUCUCCCCACCCUCUUUUCACCAUGAAAUUACACAAAUGUGCCUUUUUGUCAUGGUUUCUUUUGCCUUCCAAAUUCAGCUCACACGUCACCUCCUCCAGGAAGCCUCCCCUGACCUUCCCUCUACUGUGCCCCCUCCCCCGCAGCCUCUGUUCUUAUUUUGGUCACAACCAUUAGGACAAAUAUACUGGAACUAUUUGUUUAUGUGUUUGCUACCCAGCCCUUGCAAAACCACCAUUGCCUUUUUAAGAUUAGAACUUAUUCCCUCUGCAUCCCCAGCAUGUGUCCCAGGGCUGGGCAUGCAGGAGUUGCUCUGUUCAUCCUGAACUGAGUGCCCAAGUGAAUGCUGCUGGAGAUACAUGGACAGAGGCUGGGCGAGCAUUUACUUGACUCUCACGGGGUCCGAGCUCAGGAUGGGCUGCAUGGGGGUCCUAGAAAUCCAGUCCAGCUUCAUGGGGCUCUGGAAGUCCUGUCCAGCUCCCAAGGCUGCCCAGCUUUAUUUUCCCCAGGCUGCCCAGCCUUGUUUUCCCCAGGCACCAGCAAGGUAGAUUCCAGCCACAAAGGCCCUGGCCUCGCUCUGGGCAGCUGCUUUGAAAUCUGGAGAUGACAUUGAUGAGAGGAAGGGCAUGAGGAGUGGGGUUGGACCAUGCUGGGAUGGAGCGCGGCAGCUCUGUGCAGUGACCCAGAUGUUCCCAAGACACCAGUCUGGAGUCCUUCCAACUCGCUAUCCAGGACAUUGUCCUCAUGGUUUUGACAAGGCCUGUAGGUCAAGUCUGUUGUUGCCAAGGGAGGAGUCAGUGGUGGGUAAAGGGGCGGCAGUGCGCUUUGCCUGAGAGCUGCGAGGAUGGGAGUAAAUUGCCGCUUGCACUGGAGGUGUUUGUGGGCCAGAUGAGACGGGAUGGCACUGUCCCUGCCCUGCGCGUGGGAGGUGUGCCUUCCCCUCCUGCCGGGGACAGAGACAUGGUGGCUGGGGGCGUAUCCGGGCCCCUCUUCCCCGGGUUUCACCUGUUUUGGCUUCUGAGGUUGGUCCUUAUGGUUUCAAGGCUCCACGCACGCAUUGCUUGGUGGGGCGCAAGUGUCUGAGUGGGGAUCCUGGGCAGGUAAGGGCCACGGCCCUCUUGGUUGGGAGGACAGAGGGGAGGAGUCAGAGGCUGCCCAGGACCCCCCGAAGGAGUGGUGGCCCUGCUGAUGGAGAAGUGGCAGAUGAGAGGAGCCUGCUGGGAGGGUGCAUGCCAAGUGCCAGUGAUAGAGUGCGCUGGAGGGAUGGGCCGGUGGCCUGAGUGGCGCUUCUGACUGUUGCACUGCCCUGGCGGGUCGGCGGGGUGUUUGGCUGUGUUUAUCGUUGUCUGCCUGAGCUGGCUUGGCUGUCGCAGGCUCCUUUGUCCAAGCCGCUGCCCCGUGGUCCACCUGCCUGCGAGCCUUGGGGAGAGGCCCGCUCCCCUCCCGACUCCCGACAGCCCGCACAUCUUUUCCUCGGCAGGACUACCUGGCUGCUAUUCACUGCCUGUACGAGGAGUGGCUCAUCAAAGGGAGUCUUUUUCCCGUGGCUGCCCCUGUUCUGGUGAUUGAGGCGGACCACAACAUGCAGAAAAUGUUAGAACUCCUUGAACAAAACCGUCACCGAAUACUAACUCCAGAGAAUCGGAAGCUUGGUCCAUAAGAUGGGAAAGAUCCUGCCAGAAAAAUGCCUGCUGCUGCCAAGCUGGCUAUGAGGAGCAAUUUGGGAAAAACCCGCUCUCGGGAGGGCUUUCUGUCUGGCCACAUUUGUCUUCCUAAUGGUCUUCUUUCCUCGCCAGUGUCUUUAUCCUGGGUUUCUGGCCUCCUGGGUAGAUGGCAUAAUGGGACCCAUGGGUUUGGCCUGCCCUUUGGAGCUCGUAGCCUUGCGUUUCCCGGACGCCUCUCCUGGUGGUUUCUCACCACUGGAUCCCUCUAAGUAAGGGCAGAGCCCCCUGACUUAGGCUGGACCCAUGGUCUCUAGUCCUUCAGACCCCCUGGGAGGGCGAGGUGGUCGGCUUACAUCCCAGAGGAGGAAGUUGAAGCUCAGCGAGGCUAAGGAACUCCCUAGGGUCACUUAGCCAGUGACAGUGGAGUCAGCACCAUUCAGACUUGGUGACUCCCAGAUGACCUCUCGCCCCAGGCUGCCCCCUCCUGAGAGCCCUGCCUGCCCUGCCGGAGACCCUCACGCAUGCGUGCGGAGGGCCAGCUGUGCAUGGAGCUGGCAUCGUCUCUCAAUCUGAGCAGUUCCCAAGGACAGUUAGCAUUUCUAGGCUUUCACAAAAUUGUGCCGUGUUUGGCUGGAGCCUGGUGUUCAGCAGUUCUCUAGCGGGAGGCCAGGGUGGCACCUACCACCUUGUCAUUGGGACUUCCUGAUCCUUGGCUCCUGAAUGGUGCUUGGUCUCCUUGGUGACAACAUUCCUGCUUGAGCUGCUGCUGAUUUCCUGUCGGCAGUGGCUUGUGGCCCCAGGCUGGUGUGUGCGGUGCUGCCCUGGGGCAGGAGGCCACCACCUGGCUUCUGAGGCUCUGACUCCACAGUGGCCUCGUGUGAGGAGCUUUGGCCUGGAAUUCUUGGGAGUGUGUGGCCCAGGGCGGAGACACAAGUGGCCUUAAAUCUUUUUUGAAAUGUUCUUCUAUCCACGGGGACCCCUUGGGCCGUAGAGCAGGAAACUUGCGUUAAGUUCAGAGACUGUCCUAGCUCCGCUCGGCUGUAGCAGCGCCUUGAAGGCACGGCUGUCUCCUGCGUCAGGUGGAAGCAAGGGAAGGGAAGAGCUGCUCUUUGGGGACAGUCUGGACCGGAAGUCGAGCUUGAAAGCAAAGGCUCUCGGAGCAUUGGUGCUCCUGAUGUUUGGAGGUGGGUGGAGGGAGCUUCCAGAGGACUGGAUGCAGAAAUGGGGAUGGAAUGAUUGUGAACUUGGGGAAACAGGCCCGGGCUUCUCUGAGCAGCAGCUGGGGUAUGUAAAGGCGGGACGGCCUCGACCCAGCCUCUGUGCACGAGACUGACGCCCAGUAGGGGACGGGCGGCCCUGGUAGGGUCCAGUUCCAGAGGCAGCGCUAGAGGGGCAGCACUCUGGCUUCCGGCCCUUCCUGGCUAGACCGACUCUCGGCCGUGUGCAGGGGAGGGCGGCAGCCCAGUGGGGACGUGUCUCGCGCCCAGGUGUCGGUGACAGACAGAAAGCUGGGCGAGGCCGUGCCUCUGUGGCCGGGCGUCUCCGUGUGCUGGGACCAUCUUUGGGACUUCGCGAAUGGGACAGUCCGAUUUUCCCCACAGCUCAGUUUGGGCAUCUGUUUGGGGGGAAGUGUGAUUAAAAAGAAAUCAUGUGCUGUGGUAGCCAGUAAAUCCCUCACCUGAGACCUGGUAAUUUUGGUGUGUUUCCUAUGCCUGUGAUCUUGGCUGCCUGCAGCAUCCUUACACCCAUAGGAUAAUGUUUUGCUUUUUAAACACCAGGGAUGUCUGGGUCUGGAAGAGCCCUCGGUCGUCCCCGCCCCCCGGCACUGUGGAGAGGGUGGUGUACGCAACUACAGUGGCUGGAGCUUGUCACCAAAAUCUCCCAGCCCGGAGAUGUCACAUGAAAUGGCUGGAGCCAGCCCACCGAGGGUUGCUCUUCCCGACGAGGCGGGCAGGGCUGGUGGUGGUGGGGGUCAUGGAGCGGUUAGGAACACUGUCGAGAACCAGGGCAGGAAGGGCGCAGGUGGCAUGUGGUAGGCAUGGGCCAGUUCUGAGAGCAGAGGGAGGCACCCCCCAGGGACUCCCAGGAACAACCAUGAGGAGCAUGGCAGGGGCUGGCAUCCCCGAGGAGCUGGACGGGGCAGGCCAGGGCAGUGGUGUCACCCCGUUCUUUCCCUGGGGUGGGGUUUCAUUGGGUGUAAAGCCAGUCCAGAGCCCUCUCAGCUGCUCUGACUCUUGCUAAUUAAAAAAAAAAAUCUUGAACAGUA